ACCAGAACACUUGAACUCUGGGGGAUUCAAAAUCCAGCUCUGGAUCUGAAUUUUAUACCUCUGGCCUAAUUUUUGCCCAAAAUAGCACCUCCUUUUCUUCCUUCCUUGGUCUGCCAGAGUCCAGAUUUGUUAACCUUUCAGAACAUUUUCAGAGCCUUGAGACAUCCUCUCUCUCUGAAACAGCCUCCAGCUUGGUCAGCAGCUGCCUAGGAAUGCCUGAAGCAGGUCAGCUACUUCCCUUCAUUCCCACAAGAACCACUUUUCUCACAGGGACAGAAAGUUCUGAUAUGAAGUGGACAAAGUGAGGUUAUUGUGUUUCCAAAAGAAAUGUUCAUUCAACUUAGGAAAAGAAGGGAACAUUGUAGAACACCUGGGAUCGAAAGAAAGUUUAGCUUUAUUGUUAUACCUCAAGCAAAAGGAGUUGGAAAUACCCAUCAAACAUUCAAGAUAUUGUUGUGUAGAUUCCAUUGAAGAUUGAUUCAGAUAAGAAGGAAUAAUCUCUGAAAGCCAAUGUAAACCUAUUUCUUAGCUCCCCUUUAGAUG